rnacentral:ncRNA from 1 species
AAGAUAUUUUAUUAUAGUAAUAGAAUUUAUUAAUUAAAUAUUUUAUAUGUAAAUUUUUGUAUGAGAAAAUAUAAUUUAAAAAAUAAGAUUUUUUAUUUGCAGUAAUUAAUAUUAUUAAUUUAAGAAAUUAUGAUUUAGUAAUUUAAUUUAAUAUAGGUUUAUUUUGUGCCAGCAAUCGCGGUUAUACAAAAUAUAUAAAUAAAUUAUAUUAAGAAAAGUUAUAUAAUAAUUUAAUAUUAAAUUUUAUUUUAUAUUAUUAAGUAAAAUUUUAAUAAAAUAAAAAAUUUAAUGAAUUUUGAUAUUAAUCUUGUAAAUUUUAUAAAAAACUAGGAUUAGAUACCCUAUUAUUAAAAUAUAAGUGAAUUUUUAGAUUAGUAUUAAAUAUAUUUAGGAAAUUAAAAUAAUUUGGCGGUAUUUUAGUCUAUUCAGAGGAAUUUGUUUUAUAAUUGAUAAUCCCCAUUAUAUUGUACUUAUUUUAUUAAAUUUGUAUAUCGUUGUCAUUAGAAUAUUUUAUAAGAAUAAUAAUUUUCUUAAAUUAUAUUAAAAUUUUAUGUCAAAUCAAGGUGCAGUUUAUAUUUAAGAAAAAAUGAAUUACAAUAAUAUUUAAUUAUAAUGGAUUAAAAAUUGAAAUAGUUUUAUGAAGGUGGAUUUGAUAGUAAAUUUAAUUAGAAUGUUAUAUUGAUUAUAGCUCUAAAAUAUGUACAUAUCGCCCGUCGCUCUUAUUAUUAAAAUAAGAUAAGUCGUAACAAAGUAGAAGUAUUGGAAAAUGUUUCUAGAUAAU